GGGCCCAUAGCUCAGUUGGUUAGAGCGGCAGACUCAUAAUCUGAGGUCGGGGGAUCAUGCCCCUCUGGGCCCA
rnacentral:tRNA from 1 species